rnacentral:tRNA from 1 species
GCAGAUGUGGCGGAAUUGGCAGACGCGCAAGAUUCAGGUUCUUGUGGGCGAAAGUUCAUGCAGGUUCAACUCCUGUCAUCUGCACCA